rnacentral:rRNA from 1 species
AUGAGUAGCUCGCGCUAUCCGGCUGCUGUGGUAGACGAGGGUAAUGCUAAGAUGGCAGUGAGGGAGUGGGUCGGGUGGGAGGAGGAGAUCGUGCUGGGGGACUACGACGGCGAGGAGCACAAGGUGUGCUACUUCCUCCUCUGCGCGUCGCCCCAGGACGGCGGCAAGAGCGAGAGGGAUCUGGCGGUGGUGGGUAAGUAUUGGGGACCUGGGAACAUAGUGUACUCGGCGGACUUGCAGUUCCUGCAAUCCCUCCAGACGGCGCUCGAGUCUGGGUCGGUGUCUGCUAGGGUGGCGACGCUGGCGUUGGAGAUCACCCAGAUCAGGUGGAAGUCCAGGAAGGAGGUCAUGGCCUGGCUCACCUCGCUCGUCGCAGAUCCCCCAUAUGGAGCCUUUGGAUUGACUUGUCCCGACCACCAUGAUGGUGCAUCUAAGGUACAUACGAUCUCAAGCGUCUUCCUGAGAAAUGCUUCCUCCCAACGAAAUGAAUGUCUGUUGUUCAUCCAGGAUACCUCCUCAACACUCUCUGCUGCCGGGGAAAAUAAAGAAGGGUUCACAUGGAUAUGCAAAUUGCCCAAUCUUGAUCAAUGUCGCAAGCACUACAAAUCCUUUUGCCGAGAGUGA